rnacentral:rRNA from 1 species
UAGGGAAUCUUCCGCAAUGGACGAAAGUCUGACGGAGCAACGCCGCGUGAGUGAAGAAGGAUUUCGGUUCGUAAAACUCUGUUGUUAGGGAAGAAAAAAUGUAUAGUAACUAUAUACAAAAGAGACGGUACCUAACCAGAAAGCCACGGCUAACUACGUGCCAGCAGCCGCGGUAAUACGUAGGUGGCAAGCGUUGUCCGGAAUUAUUGGGCGUAAAGCGCGCGCAGGUGGUUUAGAAAGUCUGUUGUGAAAGCCCACGGCUCAACCGUGGAGAGUCAUUGGAAACUAAUAAACUUGAGUGCAGGAGAGAAAGGUGGAAUUCCUAGUGUAGCGUUGAAAUGCGUAGAGAUUAGGAGGAACACCGGUGGCGAAAGCGGCUUUUUGGCCUGCAACUGACACUGAGGCGCGAAAGCGUGGGGAGCAAACAGG